UCAUCUUCUCUUUACUUUAUUUGAACAGAGGAGACAGAACUCACCAAAAAUGGUGAAAAGUCGGGCUGUCAUCUAUGUCACCACUGAUCAAGACAGAACGGCUCAUAUGGCCGUUUGAAUUUCAAAUCCCGCCCUGAAAUUAAGCCCUAGAUUUUUCAUUAUAAAUAAUGGUGUUUUGAGGCCAUUUGAGAAAAAACGGGGGCCGUUGCCUUCACCCUUCGAAACCAAAUUCUUGGCCGCUCUUCUCCUAUCUAAAAUUUACUCUUUGCCUAUUAGCUAUCUCCUAAAGAAAAGCUUUAACUACAAGUCUACAACACCUCUACUGUCUCUAUUUGGUAUUUACCAUAGCAGAAAUUUGGUUAUCCUUUAUUUAUUUUAGUCGAGUCUGCUUUUGUCCGAGAGGGAGGAGUAAAGUCGAGAUCGAAGUUCGAUAGCGCAUCCACGACCCUCCUCAGUUCACUGCCCUGCAAAAGCAAAUGGAGUCUUAAUUCGAGACUCUCGCAGCGGAGUCUCAUAGAGACUCAACGCUACCACCACCACAUGGAGUCAUUGCAUACCAUCUUCCUUAGAGCACCGGAUAGCGAGAAAAACAAGCGAAAUGCUUGGGGAAGCCUAUGGCAUCUUUCAUUCAUGCUAUUUGACAUUUACUUGUGUGAUUUAAGUUUAUCUCCAAUUUCUGGGAUUAUAUGUUAAAAUUCGUGUUAGCAUAGUAUGUUUACUCUUAUUGUCGAUUUGGUACUA